GGGGCUGUAGCUCAGUGGUAGAGCGCUUACCUCACAUAUGUGAGGCACUGGGUUCAAUCCUCAGCACCA
rnacentral:tRNA from 1 species